CCUACGGGAGGCAGCAGUGGGGAAUAUUGGACAAUGGGCGGAAGCCUGAUCCAGCCAUGCCGCGUGUGUGAAGAAGGCCUUUUGGUUGUAAAACACUUUAAGCGAGGAGGAGGCUACUAGUAUUAAUACUACUGGAUAGUGGACGUUACUCGCAGAAUAAGCACCGGCUAACUCUGUGCCAGCAGCCGCGGUAAUACAGAGGGUGCGAGCGUUAAUCGGAUUUACUGGGCGUAAAGCGUGCGUAGGCGGCUGAUUAAGUCGGAUGUGAAAUCCCUGAGCUUAACUUAGGAAUUGCAUUCGAUACUGGUCAGCUAGAGUAUGGGAGAGGAUGGUAGAAUUCCAGGUGUAGCGGUGAAAUGCGUAGAGAUCUGGAGGAAUACCGAUGGCGAAGGCAGCCAUCUGGCCUAAUACUGACGCUGAGGUACGAAAGCAUGGGGAGCAAACAGGAUUAGAUACCCUGGUAGUCCAUGCCGUAAACGAUGUCUACUAGCCGUUGGGGUCUUUGAGACUUUAGUGGCGCAGCUAACGCGAUAAGUAGACCGCCUGGGGAGUACGGUCGCGAAGACUAAAACUCAAAAGUAGUAGUAGGACGUUGNGAGAGCGACGACGACGACGAGGAGGGAGGAG
rnacentral:rRNA from 1 species